GACGAACGCUGGCGGCGUGCUUAACACAUGCAAGUCGAACGGAAAGGCCCUUCGGGGUACUCGAGUGGCGAACGGGUGAGUAACACGUGGGUGAUCUGCCCUGCACUUUGGGAUAAGCCUGGGAAACUGGGUCUAAUACCCAAUAGGACCACGCGCUUCAUGGUGUGUGGUUGAAAGCUUUUGCGGCGUGAGAUGGGCCCGCGGGCUAUCAGUUAGUUGGUGGGGUAAUGGUCUACGAAGGCGACGACGGGUAGGCGGCCUGAGAGUGUCGCCGGGCACACUGGGACUGCGAGACGGCCCAGACGCCUACGGGCGGCAGCAGGCGGGAAUAUUGCGGAAUGGGCGCGAGCCUGAUGUAGCGACGCCGCGUGAGGGAUGACGGCUUUCGGGUUGUAAACCUCUUUCAAUAGGGACGAAGCGGAAGUGACGGUACCUAUAGAAGAAGCACCGGCUAACUACGUG
rnacentral:rRNA from 1 species